UCAAAUUUGAAAUCUGGCUCUUUCAGAGUCCGAGUUGUAAUUUGAAGAAGGUAUCUUUGGGUCUGGCUCUUGUCUAUGUUUCUUGGAACAGAACGUCACAGAGGGUGAGAAUCCCGUGCGAUGAGAUGAUCCAGGCCUAUGUAAAGUUCCUUCGAAGAGUCGAGUUGUUUGGGAAUGCAGCUCUAAGUGGGUGGUAAAUUCCAUCUAAAGCUAAAUAUUGGCGAGAGACCGAUAGCGAACAAGUACAGUGAUGGAAAGAUGAAAAGAACUUUGAAAAGAGAGUGAAAAAGUACGUGAAAUUGUUGAAAGGGAAGGGCUUGAGAUCAGACUUGGUAUUUUGUAUGUUACUUCUUCGGGGGUGGCCUCUACAGUUUAUCGGGCCAGCAUCAGUUUGGGCGGUAGGAGAAUUGCGUUGGAAUGUGGCACGGCUUCGGUUGUGUGUUAUAGCCUUCGUCGAUACUGCCAGCCUAGACUGAGGACUGCGGUUUAUACCUAGGAUGUUGGCAUAAUGAUCUUAAGUCGCCC
rnacentral:rRNA from 1 species